GUGACCUCAAAUCAGGUAGGACUACCCGCUGAACUUAAGCAUAUCAAUAAGCGGAGGAAAAGAAACUAACAAGGAUUCCCCUAGUAACUGCGAGUGAAGCGGGAAAAGCUCAAAUUUAAAAUCUGGCAGCCUUUGGUUGUCCGAGUUGUAAUCUAGAGAAGUGUUAUCCGCGCUGGACC
rnacentral:rRNA from 1 species